AUGCCUGUCAUCCACCACUGCUGCACCCACCCUCUCCCCUUCUCAAUCUCGAUCCAGUCAGGCGCGUGCAGAUCCGAGGAGAUUUGGGCUCCUGAGGUGAAUGAUUUCAUCUUGAUUUCCGACAGCGCCUACACCCGGGAGCAGAUUCUGAAGAUGGAGAAGGCCAUCUUGAUCGCCGGCCUCCCUCGCCCGGGAAGAUGA
rnacentral:rRNA from 1 species